rnacentral:tRNA from 1 species
GGCUUUAUAGUGGAAAAAAGACGUCAAAUUGCAAAUUUGAAGAUGUAUGGAUUACUAAAGCUU